UACGUAGGGUGCAAGCGUUAAUCGGGAUUACUGGGCGUAAAGCGUGCGCAGGCGGCUUUGCAAGACAGAUGUGAAAUCCCCGGGCUCAACCUGGGAACUGCAUUUGUGACUGCAUGGCUGGAGUGCGGCAGAGGGGGAUGGAAUUCCGCGUGUAGCAGUGAAAUGCGUAGAUAUGCGGAGGAACACCGAUGGCGAAGGCAAUCCCCUGGGCCUGCACUGACGCUCAUGCACGAAAGCGUGGGGAGCAAACAGG
rnacentral:rRNA from 1 species